rnacentral:rRNA from 1 species
GUCGAACGCUGGCGGCAUGCCUAAUACAUGCAAGUCGAGCGAACAGAUGAAGUGCUUGCACUUCUGACGUUAGCGGCGAACGGGUGAGUAACACGUAAGGAAUCUACCUAUAAGCGGGGGAUAACAUUUGGAAACGGGUGCUAAUACCGCAUAAUAUCUUCUUCCGCAUGGAGGAAGAUUGAAAGACGGCUCUGCUGUCACUUAUAGAUGACCUUGCGGUGCAUUAGUUAGUUGGUGGGGUAAUGGCCUACCAAGACGAUGAUGCAUAGCCGACCUGAGAGGGUGAUCGGCCACAUUGGGACUGAGACACGGCCCAAACUCCUACGGGAGGCAGCAGUAGGGAAUCUUCCGCAAUGGGCGAAAGCCUGACGGAGCAAUGCCGCGUGAGUGAAGAAGGCCUUCGGGUCGUAAAACUCUGUUAUAAGAGAAGAACAAAUUGUAGAGUAACUGCUACAGUCUUGACGGUAUCUUAUCAGAAAGCCACGGCUAACUACGUGCCAGCCGCCGCUGUAA